AAGAAUUGUAAAUAAUUAAACCUAGAGUAGUAUUAGUUAAGAUCUUGAAACUCAAAAAAUUUGGCGGUAUUUUAGUCUAUUUAGAGGAACCUGUAGUAUAAUCGAUAAUCCACGAUGGACCUCACUUAAUUUUGUUUUUCAGUUUGUAUACCGCUGUUAUUUGAAAAUUUUAUAAGAAUAUUAAUUUUCAUAAUCUUUGAUUAAAGAAUAAAUCAGGUCAAGGUGCAGCUUAUGAUUAAGUAUUUAUGGGUUACAAUAAAUUUAUUUAUAUGAAUUAAGGCAUGAAAAUUGUUUUUUGAAAGCGGAUUUAAUAGUAAAUUUUUAAAGAUAAAAAAAUUGAUU
rnacentral:rRNA from 1 species